AUUCAGCUGACGAGUCUCAAAUAAGACGAAACAUUCAUCUUGGAU
rnacentral:hammerhead_ribozyme from 1 species